UAAUUUAUGGAAAUAAUCCUAGCAUUAAUUUUACAACUAUAACUUUAGUAAAUGAUACUGUAUCAUAUGGUUUCAAGUUUACGGUCACUGUACGUGCGUGGAUACACGUAUCCUAAGAAAAAGUUUAAAUACCAGUGACUGACCAUUCAGUGCAGAAGUGUGGUUUACAUUAAUUUCACUGACCCUGAAUCUCUGCCUACUAAAAGUCGAGAUACGUGCUAAAUAAUUCAAGAGUUCACAUGAUGCAUUUAUUAUGGAUAUCAUUGUUACCUUCAACUGUAGGAAAAUGCCGCAGAGAAACAGAAAAAUGCCGAAAGAAAGCAGGUCGUAUGCAUUUGUGUCGUUGCAUAGAGGUCACCACAAGUUCAUCGAAUUAUCUUGAGGUGAAUGAACUAUUGUGUGCUCGCGAGACAACCAAUAAUUGAUGUCUUUUUUAUCCAAUUUACUGCCGACUGCUAGACAUAAAACUUAAGCUAAAUUAAGUAUUACGGUAUGUAUACAACAUCAAUUUUUUAACUCUUACUAAUAUUUCACAACAUUUUACAAACUUAUUUUAUAACAUUGCACAUUCUUUGAUUGUUCGAGAAAAGAUAAGUAAAUUUUUAAUUAAGUAACAACUAAUAUGACUUUGCCUAUUUAUUUUAUUAAACUUCAUACGAGGUUUCGUAUAUUUCUGAGAAAAGCAUUUUUUAAAGAAUUUUUUAGCUCCCGAUGUAACAUAGACGAACUACAGUUUCGUUUCUCAGUAUAGCAAAACGGAAUUAAUUAAUGUCGGACAGAGGAGGUAGUGUUAUGAUCAUUAACGAGAAACUUCUUUCUCGCACUGUCGAUGGAGACCCUCAACGAAUCACGAAUCGAGUGUACCCUCGGAAAGUAGCUGGAAUGUUAUGCAAAGCAAUUACACCGACUUAAUUGUCCAUGCGAGGAUCAUUAAGCAGACUCUACCGAGGGAGCGAUGAACCGAUUGAUUUCCACUUCGAUUAAAAAUUAUACUCACAUGAAAUGCAGUUUCGUUACUCUUCGGGACAUAAGUUGGCAGCAGAUGUAAAUAACUGCUCAGAAAACCAGAUGUUUAUGAAAGGCGAGAAGGUAUUGAAAACGAACCUUCUAUGUGUUAAAUCAAGACUGUAUGAGUUAAACAUUAUUAUAUAUCGGUGUACAUCAAGAGAGACAAGAAAGAGAACAGGGGAUAAUUUGAACAAUUAUAAUUUAUGGUAACCGAGACAAACUCCUGUCUUUUUUUCUUUCUUUCCACAACCGGAUUACCGGAACUCAUAAAAUCAAUUGGAGUAAUUGCGCUCGUAUGGAUUCCCGCUGAGACAUGAUGGUCAUUUCCCGUAGUUUCUGUGGACAAUGAUAUCGAUAAAAAGUCGAAACAAAACGUUGGAAUCAGCCAGUGGCUAUUUUUAAAAUCUAUUGAUCACGAGAGAGAUCAUCUUUGCGAAUGCAAAGCGUACAUCAUCUGCAUUCGUAUGAUAAGAGAAUGCGACGCUUAUAACGAAGGUUUAUCUUUAGAUGGAGCGGCAUAAACAUACAAUGGGCAAUACCGAAACUAAUGAGGAAAUUAAUUUAAAUAAAGAGAGGCCCAAUCGGCGCCAUUCUUGCAUAACGAUUGAUGCUGCUUUUCCGAUACGUGCCACGAAUGCUGUAUAUACUUCUGAAAUUCUUCUCCGAGGUAUGCCCAAAUUUAAAAUAGUCGAAAUGUGAUAGCUGUAGCGCAAUUUCGUCAAAAUUACAAGUUUGUAAUCAAAAUAUUGAUAUUAUUGUACUGAAGCUUUCAAUGCACAAUGAGAUAAAAUUUGUGAAAAUUGGGAGGAUAUUUAUUAUAUAUACAGGGAUCUUUAUCAAUGUUGAAAUUAGUUAAGGUCUAAACUUACAAGAAUUUAGUGCUCAGUAGUAGAUAUUUGUAUCUACAAUUUUGACGUCAAAGAAAAAGGGUUUUUUAGAGUUAUUAAUAUGGAAAUGACGACAAUGACCUUUGAGCUUUUGGAUAUAGAUGGAAGAUUACUAUACCUCCCUAAAUUCAGAGUAAAGUUUUAGCUACAGCGUGACAAGUAGGGGCCAAAAGUUACGAUUUCGCUUUGUGAUAAAUAUAGAUAUGUAAUAGUUAGAUUCACUGAGGACAAAAUAAUCAAUUAAUAAUUUAGUUUCACCUAUUUAUUUGAGUAAUACAGAAGUUGUAAAUAAUUUAGAACAAUUCACAAUUACUAUAAAUUAAAUUUUUCCAAAUUAACCACUGGAAAUAAAAGAUAUUAAAUACAUGAUAGUAUCUUUUAAAUCUUUUAAAUUUAAAUUAUCGGAGGAAAGAUAAGAAUCAGUACAAUAAAAUGUUAAUUUCUUCCGUACGUAUGUUAUUGUAUAUAUAAUUCAAAUAUAAAUACUAUGUUUUAAAUAUUUCUUUAGUUAUAUUAUAAAGUACUUGGUUAGUUUUCUGAUGUAAUCUAUUCGAAUUAUCAAUAUUUAACU